rnacentral:hammerhead_ribozyme from 1 species
AUCCAGACGACGAGUCCCAAAUAGGACGAUACGUCCUGGAU